CCUACGGGAGGCAGCAGUGAGGAAUAUUGGUCAAUGGGCGGGAGCCUGAACCAGCCACGCCGCGUGAGGGAAGAAGGUACAGCGUAUCGUAAACCUCUUUUGUCAGGGAACACAGGCGGGGACUAGUCCCCGGAUGAGGGUACCUGAAGAAAAAGCAUCGGCUAACUCCGUGCCAGCAGCCGCGGUAAUACGGAGGAUGCGAGCGUUAUCCGGAUUUAGUGGGUUUAAAGGGUGCGCAGGCGGCCUGUUAAGUCAGCGGUAAAAGCCUGGGGCUCAACCCCGGCGAGCCGUUGAAACGGGCGGGCUGGAGUGGGAGAGAAGUACGCGGAACGCGAGGUGUAGCGGGGAAAUGCGUAGAUAUCGCGCAGAACCCCGAUUGCGAAGGCAGCGGACUGGCUCCACACUGACGCUGAGGCACGAAAGCGUGGGUAUCGAACAGGAUUAGAUACCCUUGUAGUC
rnacentral:rRNA from 1 species